GCUCCAUCGAUCCAAGCCGCGGAACCAGCAGCUGAAAAAAAAAAAGUGAGAAGGGAAUCGAUCUGAGGGAAACGGCAGCUGCUGGGGAUUAGAGCCCGAGGUCCACACGCUGCCCAGCGGCCACCCCUCCCCUGCGUCAGGCUGGCCCCGCAGUCUCAGCCUGGCCCUGAGGGAGGGUCCCAAGCGUGGCUCCCCUUGGGUUCAGGGUGCUGCUCAACCCACCCUGGCGACAAGGCGAGGUCAGACCCCUAAGUGAGGGUCACUCCUGUGUGGAAUCCACCCACACAGCCGAGUCCUAGCCCUGCACGGUGCUCUAACUAGAUGUCGCCAACCUUUCAGCAAAGUGGCUUCCCAGGGCCCCACAGUUGGGUUUCCCCCACAGGCUUCCCAUGAGUCUAGGUCAGCAGGCUCCCAGAGCUGGGGAGAGACGACCUCUGGGGACAGGUUCAGGCUGCUUCUGGCUGGGACCCAGCAGGAGAAAGAAGAGUUGGUACUGGCAGCAGGUUACUUCAGUCUGGGGCUCUGCCAAGAGAGUGGGAGCUGCCCCCCAAUCUCUCCCCAGCACUCCCUACCGCCCUGACAUCCUGUCUGAAUACCUGGCUAUCUGCUGAGAUCUCAGGGUCAAGCUGUCUCCACCGCACAUUGACCUCCAUCAUGAGCCCAGAUAAUACCCUCUUCCCCUCUUCAGAUUACGAUCAUUACCAGCUCAUCUGGCAACUAAGCUCAGCACCCACAGCUGCGGAAAGGGGGUGCCAGGAGGGGCACUCUGGGGUCACGGGCAAACACGAGAGACGUGGGAAGAGCCGGGCUAUGACCCGCCAGAAGGUAUCAGGCUGCCAAGGGGUAACAAGGCACCUCCUAGACCAGAGACCUCUGCCAGAGGAGUGGGAGAGAGACCCUGGAAGACCCCGGGGUGGGGGCAAAACCCCCAACUCCCCAAAGCCAGCCUGGGAGCAGAUGGAGCUGGCAAAGCGUUAAACAGGCCAGGGCUGGGUCUUGGCAGGAGCUGAGGAGAGCAGGCUGCUGGGUGUUCAGCCUGGGCCCAAGCCUCCCAGCAAGUGUGCUCACUGAAAUCCUUUCAGCGUUCUCUCGGCAUUCUAGAGAGCCAGGCCCAGGGAGGCAGGCAGGCAGGGCGAAGGUCAGGGGGCCAGCAGGCCAGGGAGCCUGGAGGGCCUUCGUCUAAAGCAGCUAGCGCAGAAGGCCGAGGCAGUGGGAGGGGGAGAUUUACCAAGGCUCUGGAUUCAUUAUUCAUGAGGCGGCAGCAACGACUCCAAUU